rnacentral:rRNA from 1 species
ACCUCUCGUUUAGAUUGAAGGAGCUUGCUCCUGAUUGAUAAACAUUUGAGUGAGUGGCGGACGGGUGAGUAACACGUGGGUAACCUGCCCUAAAGUGGGGGAUAACAUUUGGAAACAGAUGCUAAUACCGCAUAAAACCUAACACCGCAUGGUGUAGGGUUGAAAAGAUGGUUUCGGCUAUCACUUUAGGAUGGACCCGCGGUGCAUUAGUUAGUUGGUGAGGUAAAGGCUCACCAAGACCGUGAUGCAUAGCCGACCUGAGAGGGUAAUCGGCCACACUGGGACUGAGACACGGCCCAGACUCCUACGGGAGGCAGCAGUUAGGGAAUCUUCCACAAUGGACGAAAGUCUGAUGGAGCAACGCCGCGUGAGUGAAGAAGGUUUUCGGAUCGUAAAACUCUGUUGUUGGAGAAGAAUGUAUCUGAUAGUAACUGAUCAGGUAGUGACGGUAUCCAACCAGAAAGCCACGGCUAACUACGUGCCAGCAGCCGCGGUAAUACGUAGGUGGCAAGCGUUGUCCGGAUUUAUUGGCGUAAAGCGAGCGCAGGCGGUUUCUUAAGUCUGAUGUGAAAGCCUUCGGCUCAACCGAAGAAGUGCAUCGGAAACUGGGAAACUUGAGUGCAGAAGAGGACAGUGGAACUCCAUGUGUAGCGGUGAAAUGCCGUAGAUAA